rnacentral:pre_miRNA from 2 species
UUCUUUGGUUAUCUAGCUGUAUGGAUAUUUUGAACUUCAUAAAGCUACAUUACCGAAGGU